AACCUCCGCCGUUUCCUCUCCUCUUUCGCGAUUUCGAAACCGCCCUCACGCGACUUCGAAGCCGCCGGCCCUACUUUGGACUCUUCCGUCUUCCCCUCCCCACCGUGUACCGACGCAGAAGACGCCGACCACAUUCCCAUCGUCACCGACCGCAUGAGCCCUCUGCCACCUCCCUCGGCCGACAUGGGGUCUUCGCCCAACCCCUUCUCUAUUCGUCGUCGUCUUGGUGACCUAAGCAGGGCACUGCCCCGACCGCCGCCAAGGACUUGAGAUCCUUGGCAGUCUUCUGACAGAGACCCGACCCUUGCCCUCAAGGCAGUCAAUGUCCGCACGCCCUGCCCUCAACGUAGCCGAAUUGGGAUUUGAGUUCGAAGCAAACCCUUUGACUAGACGGUUUGGACACUCUACAUUUUCUACAUUUGAGGUAUGUAAAAGUGAUUUAUAGCUAAAGAUCUUUGCAUUGCAACUACUUUGUUGUGCAUAGGUUUAGUUGAUUCAAUAGUGUGGAGGUAGUGGUUGUGGCCUAAAUUUUUAAUUCUCUUGUUGAAAUCCGUCUUGCAUUAGAGUUCUGAAUGGGGUGUAUGAAAUGUAUUCUUGGAAAAUGCUAAUUUGAUACUUGGACUUUUAAUGUAUUUUGUUAGUGAGAGAAUUGGUCAUUCUUUAAGUGCACUUUUUGUGCUUUGA